CCCUUAGAUGUUCUGGGCUGCACGCGCGCUACACUGAAGCGUUCAACGAGUAUUCACCUUGCCCGGGAGGGUUGGGUAAUCUUUUGAAAACGCUUCGUGAUGGGGAUAGAUUAUUGCAAUUAUUAAUCUUCAACGAGGAAUUCCUAGUAAGCGCGAGUCAUCAGCUCGUGCUGAUUACGUCCCUGCCCUUUGUACACACCGCCCGUCGCUCCUACCGAAUGAGUGAUCCGGUGAAUAAUUCGGACUGCAGCACUGCUUGGUCUCCAGGCUUUGCAGCGGAAAGUUUAGUGAACCUUAUCACUUAGAGGAAGGAGAAGUCGUAACA
rnacentral:rRNA from 1 species